GGCAUCGCGAGUAGACUUUUGGCCAUCUUGAGGUGAGUAAUAGAUGUAAAUGCUGUUCUGAGGGUUUGAAACCCCGGACUUUCACAUCGUAACGCUAUAUUGAGGCGUGACACGCACUCCAUGGCGAGUGCGGGGUCAGAUACUAUUGGGGAUUGUGACUUGGUCCAUCCCGUGUGAUGUUUAUACUAUACUGGUGAUUGAUACACAUACUUCAUUGAUAUUACUGGGCUUGAUGCCAUGUUUGGGGCCUUGUGCCGAUUUGUAAAAUCCUUCAAGGAUUGAUAUUACUGCUUAGCAUGAUUUGCAUAUCAUUUAAUUUCAGUCCAAGGUUUUAAAUGUUAUUUUGCAAACUCAGCCAUAAUUCUAAGUGUUGAAAACUUAAAUGAUAUUUUUAAAUGUAUUCCGGGCUGGGAACUUCUGUUUUGUAAAUGCCCAAGGGGCUUAUUAUAUUAUUUUCUGGCUUUAUUAUAAAGUGACUUGAAACAGUGGUAACAAUGACACUGUGUGAUGUACUUGAAACAGUGGUAACAAUGACACUGUGUGAUAUACUUGAAACAGUGGUAACAAUGGCACUGUGUGAUAUACUUGAAACAGUGGUAACAAUGACAUUGUGUGAUAUACUUGAAACAGUGGUAACAAUGACACUGUGUGAUAUACUUGAAAUAGUGGUAACAAUGACACUGGAUGAUAUACUUGAACAGUGGUAACAAUGACACUGUGUGAUAUACUUGAAACAGUGGUAACAAUGACACUGUGUGAUAUACUUGAAAUAGUGGUAACAAUGACACUGGAUGAUAUACUUGAACAGUGGUAACAAUGACACUGUAUGAUAUAAAUUGGUCAGGUAACAAUGGUUGACCGGUCAGGUAACAAUGACUGACCAAGAUAUUGCGCUUGGGCUGUAGGAGCCCCUCCGGAGUCUGUACACACCCCCAGUGAGCGUCAUCGACGAUAAAUAAAUAUGGAUGGCUUGGGCUGCACGCCGCAGUGGGUACUGGAAUGUACCAUCAUAUGCAUUGCAUUGCAUUCAUGUAUUUGUAUUUAUACUGGUGUUUAACUGCUCAGUUCCAUAUGCUGCUGUAUAUUCGGAUUGUAGCUUACUUUGUAUAUUUACUGGAUUUUAUUAUCUUCGGACUGUAGUUACUUUUAUUACUCACUGGGUCGGAGUACUCACUUUACUCCCUGCACCUUGUGUGCAGAUUCAGGGCAGUCUCAGGCUCAGUAGAUCCAGUUGAUCAGCAGAUCCAGCCUCUGGGAGUAUCGAGGUAGUUGCAUGGCGUUCGUAGCCAUUGAUAUUCUCCCUCCUAUCCUAUCUCUUUAUUUCCGAAUUAUCGGACUUUGGAUAUACCGUGUAUUAGGAUGAUAUUCUGUAUUCUAGAGGCUCAGAUUCGUGACACCGGGUCCUAAUAAGAUUAUAUUGUGUAUUUUGUUAAAAUCUUCAGUACUUUAAUCUUGCUUAAUUAAUAUUUCUUUCCGCU
rnacentral:lncRNA from 1 species